CGGCGGACGGGUGAGUAACACGUGGAUAACCUACCUAUAAGACUGGGAUAACUUCGGGAAACCGGAGCUAAUACCGGAUAAUAUGUUGAACCGCAUGGUUCAAUAGUGAAAGACGGUUUUGCUGUCACUUAUAGAUGGAUCCGCGUCGCAUUAGCUAGUUGGUAAGGUAACGGCUUACCAAGGCAACGAUGCGUAGCCGACCUGAGAGGGUGAUCGGCCACACUGGAACUGAGACACGGUCCAGACUCCUACGGGAGGCAGCAGCC
rnacentral:rRNA from 1 species